UUUCAAGCCUAUAAUGGGCUUUCCCCUUUCCAUUCCAGGAUAUAAGAAAGAUGAAAAAUGACACUAGAUGAGUACUGGGUGUGUUGUGUUGGCACAGAUUUGUGGCUGAUAAGCUGUGACUCCAUGGAAGCAGUGGUAACAGGCUGAGAUGUUACUUUCAAUAUCAUACCAGAGACUGAAAUAAACAGGCAAUGCUGGCAGGUCUGGCUGCACAGCACUCCAGGGGCCUAUGAAUGCAAAAACGUGCAGUGGGAACCGAGCAGAAAUCAGCUCAGAGCAGAAGUCACUGGCACCAGGAAACCAGCUCAGAGGGAACCUUUGCAGGAAUGUGAUGCUUUCAAAUUCCACUGUCCAAUGAAUCCCACACCAGUUUUCUCCUAGUUUGAUUGCAGAGAUGGAACAAGUGACUUGAAAGCUAAUGAAGAUGGAGACCUCCAGGAAAAGGAGACUCAGAGGUGACCUUACCACUCUCUACAACUUCCUGAAAGGUGGUUGUAGCCAGGUGGGGGUUGGUCUCUUUCUCCAGGCAACAGCUGACAGAACGAGGGAACACAGUCUCAAGCUGCACCAAGGGAAAUACAGGUUGGAUAUUAGGAAAAAGGUUUUUUUAUGGAAGGACUAAUA